rnacentral:rRNA from 1 species
AUGAACGGUGAGAGGAAAGUGCAUUGGAUUGCCUUGGAUAAGAUGUGCCAAUCAAAACGGACGGGUGGCAUGGGCUUUCGUGAUCCGGAAGCUUUCAACCAAGCCCUACUAGCAAAACAGGCAUUGAGGAUCUUGCAGACGCCGAUGUCCUUAUGUGCAAGAGUUCUUCGUGCAAGGUAUUUCAACAAUACUUCAAUCAUGAGUGCCACAUGCCCAUCGGGUGGAUCAUACACUUUCAGGAGUAUUUUGCAUGGGAGAGACUUGCUUCAGGAGGGCGUAAUGUGGCGCAUUGGAGAUGGAUCGACGGUGAACAUACACCAUGACCCUUGGAUCCCGCGACUGGGCGCAGUCUUCAUACCAGGUAUACAGAAGGUGGCUGACUUGUUGAACCUCACGGGCGAAACAUGGGACCAUACAAAACUCCAAGCUAUGUUCUCCGUAGAUGACGCCAAUGAUAUUAAGCAGAUAGUUGUAGGUGGGCCUGGAGUUCAGGAUUAUAUUGCAUGGAAUCAUACAAAAAAGGUAUCUUCACUGUCAGGUCAGCUUACCACCUGA